UUUUACAUUUUUCUCGAUACUGUCUUCAGACCUGUCUGCAACGAAUUUUUGAAAUUUUGAUCGAAUAUAUUGCAUAAUGUAUUUUGCAAUGUAGCAUAGAUGUUUUUUGAUGACUUAAUUAAUAAAAAAUGUUCUACAUUUUAUUGAAGAUUCUAGUUUAUCAAUUAAAGGAUGUUUUUUUUAUUGUGAACUUCUUGUUUGAAUAUGAAUUCGAGUUAUUGUUUCUAUUUUCAAACUCUUCAGAAUAGAUAAAGAAUAAUGUAUUUUCUUAUGUUUAGUAGAUAUUUUUUUCCAUAUUCAAAUGUAUAUGUACAUAUUUCCGUCGGACAACAUGGUAUCUCUAUUUCCGACGCGUGCUGCCACCUGGCAACUAACUACAAAAUUUCCAAAGCGACUGCAAGAGCGACCGACAAGACAUGAAUAAAAGUAAAAGCAAAGUGAAAAUGGCAAAAUAAUGAAAAAGAAGACUUACGCUUUCCUUUGACUGCAAACGACACUGAAAUCUCUGCAGGUUCACCAGACUGCAACUCUCCCUCUUUCUCGUUCACACCGCUGUCUUGCUCCUCACGAUCGUGCAGGUGCGAGGAUAAUCCGCGACGUAGCGGCCGGACAACGGUCAGCGCGGCUGCGCCCAGCCGUUUCAACCCUCUCUGCGUCGCGCGACUCAUCGUGCAACCACCCCGACGAAACGAAAGUGAAUGGCCCGUAGCGUGUACGAUCAAAACGCGACACCGCGUUCGAUAAAAGGGACUAUUGGAGAAGAAAUGUCCCGCGUAUAAUUAUUCAAGAUGGAUUACUUGUUUCUUUCUCUUUAUAAUAAUGGAUGUUGUCAUUUCGAGUAUUUUCAAUGGCAUUUUUUCUUCACGACGCAUACUGAGAUAUUUGCAUCGAUAUGCCGGAAAGAAUUAUUUUUGUACGCAAAUCAUAUUGAAUUGAAGUGAAUUUUUAUUUUCGUACAGGAUAAACAGAUGAGAUAACUACCUAAUAAAAGAUGUAGCUAUAUCUUGAAAU